UCAGUUAUAUUGCAGGGCUGGUGAUGGCGAGGAUCAGAUUCUCCUUUACAACUUCUUCCCCUUUGGAAAUCAGGGCAGUGACAUGCAAGUGACAGCUUUUCCUCUGCUCGCCAAGUCCAGUGAGCAGGCAAAGGCGCCGUGUUCACCCUCCCACCGGGCAUGUUCUGCUCAUCGAGGAACAGGUGGGCUCUCACAGUGAACUCAUCCAGUGGUCCGUCCCACCUGUGCAUUUCGUAAGAAAAAUUCCAUGUUGAGCCUGUUCUGGCAGAGGAACUCACACAGAUAGAAAUCUGAUGGUGCAAUUGUACUAAAGAAAACCCUGCAAGCACAGCCAGGACUAAUUACUCUAACCUCAGACCUGGCUGCUGUCCACACGACGAGGCUCUGUGCCGGCACAUGGACUAGCAGAGUUUGUAGAGGAACAAACUGAUGGAGAAACAGGAACGAAAGGCUACACUUGUGCAACCUUUAUGGCCCCAAAAAUGCUUCAACAUACAAUGAAGAUGUUAUGCCAGUAAGUUUUGGUCCGUAGAUGCUACUACUUAGUAAGCCCAUAGGGUUAAGCCUAGAAAAAUGAGGAUCUUGAAGGCAUUUUAAAAUUCAUCUGUAUCUUGUAACCAAGUAAAGUUAUGUAAUUGCCUGUGCUGAUGUAAAGACAUGGAUGUAACCUUGAGACAUGGCUAUUCCUUUGGUAUUUGACAGAUUGGUGGUGAUCGUUUUCCAGAAUGAAUAGACUCCAGAGUGGGUUGAACAGGGUGGAGGAAGCUCCCUUGUAAGGGGAAACAGCUCCAGGUGCCUUUUCUGUGGCAGCAACACUGAGAGCUCCCCCCUCCUCUGCCCCUCCUCAACACCACCUCAUCUCCAAAGGUGUGCACUAUGUGGGAGCAGGGUGAAAAUAGCCCUCUGGCAACCUCACUGCCAGCCAAAAUCCCAUGGGCAUACCACAUCACUAAAUAUCACAGCCCCGAGCAUCCUAGGGAUUCAGGCUACCAGAGGUGACUGUGGUGGGGAUGGGGUGUUGAUGGGGACAAUGGGACACGGUAUCCAGGCUUCUUCUGCAGCCACUCCUUUGCAUGGACAAGCGCAUCCCGGCUGUUUGUUGGCUGUUUGUCUUGGCAGUGAGUCCUCACAUCGAACCGAGGGUGUCAUUUAUCCUCAGCAUCAACAGCCCCCACCAGAGCAAGCAGCAAGAGCUGGCAGGGGGCUUCCUCUGGCCUCUGCUUCACAUUCCUCCACCUCUCACACAAUAACAAGGGUCCUGCAGAAGAGACCUCUGCCAAUCCUCUGCCUCUUCCUUGUAGUUUUGAAAUGCACCAGUCAAGAAAAAUCGUGGUUUUCAGCCGGUUUUGGUUUGCUCCCAGGGCAUGUCCGUUCCUCUCGUGAAUCAGAAGCGGUGGCAAACACAACGUGCUGUGCCUCUAUCGGGUACAUACCAUCCCCAUUCCUCGCUGUUCAAUGGAGAACAGCAGCACGGUUUAUUGCCCUGUGGAUGGACAAAGAGAGCCUUGUUCCCUGUGGGACUCUGUCACGCUGAUGUUUCUUUUCCACUUGGUGCUUCUGUGUCACCAAAAGAGC